UACAUGGGGUGGCAAACGUUGCUCGGAAUCAUUGGGCGUAAAGCGCGCGUAGGCGGUUACUUAAGUCGAAUGUGAAAGCCCCUCGGCUUAACCGAGGAAGUGCAUCCGAAACUGAGGUAGCUAGAGUGACGAAAGAGGGUCGCGGAAUUCCCGGUGUAGAGGUGAAAUUCGUAGAUAUCGGGAGGAACACCGGUGGCGAAGGCGGCGACCUGGUCGAGACUGACGCUGAGGCGGCGAAAGCGUGGGGAGCAAACAGG
rnacentral:rRNA from 1 species